CUCACCUCCUGUCUUCUAAAGAUAGAGUAUCCAUCUUGCUGAUAGUCUACCAGGCUUUUGCUGUUAGAGUGAAAUCACAAUCUCCUAAGGACCACAUCUACUUUGAAAGAUUCUGACUGUUUAAGAAUUAUCUGAGACUUCUAGCUUGAAAUCAGACAUCGUAAGAACUUGAAAGCCAUCACUUUCAUCUUUAAAACAAGAAAAAGCUGGACAAACCAAAAACCAGUGACUUCUUUUGGACCCAUCAGAGAACUGAGAUCAAAGAGCCAACUAUCUCCUUGAAGUCUGGGGAGAUAGGAGCAUCCAGAGUCAUAUCCGAGAUUUGCUUACCUGGAACAGAAGCCACUGGAACCACAAACCGUAUAUCACUUCAAUUCAUCAAAUCUGUCAGCCAAGCCGCUAGGAAUCUGAUCUAAAAGCUGUCAUCUUUGAUCUAAAAGCCGUGAGUGUGGUGGUGUUUGGCAGACAGUAUGGUAUAGUGUGGGCCUGAGCUAGCAGAGUG